AUGUCAGCCGUGCGCGGUCGCUUUGCGGAUCUCAAGUUAUUUUCGCCUUUUUUCGCCUGCCUGCUGUCAGGGCAAAGAGGGAAUAGAGGAUGACCCGUCUUCUCGUGAGAAAACAAUGCACGGCCGGCGAUCGCAAACAGGAGACGAUCAGAGUAAAUGGAGGAAACUUAUUCGACACAGAGAGAAGCUGCAAACUUCACGCAUGAAGCACAGGCGGGAUUGGAACCCCCAACCCUGCUGGUGUGAAGCAGUAGUACUACCCACUGAACCAUUGUACAGCCCACUGAUGUCUUGCUUAAAACAAAUUCAAUUAAAAAAGGUACAGGCAGUGUAAAAACAAACAUCACACGGUGGCCAUGCACAGUUUCCAGUCACCCGAAAGUGCUCGUCUUCUAAAACAGUGACCAAGAAGGAGGUCGAUGCUCAGAGGAGGUGCCUGAGAAGAGGUGGAAGGUGCAGCAUUGCAUUUCCUUAGAGUGAUACUGUGCUGUUACUCCGUACCACAGUCUUUAAUGAAAAGCCACCGCGAGGUAGAAAAACAGACACCGCCGCAACAGGAAACGCGAUGCAACAUCUGCCCUGCACCUACAGAGCUGAGACAAUAAUAAUUGUUCAGUGACCUUAAGAUAGCAUUUUGUGCACAGCCGAGCGGCCCGUCGAUGCUGCUGCGAAACCACUGUCUUUGUUUUUCCUAUUACUUGUCAUACAACUCUAACAGAUUUGUACGAAACAAGGGGGGAAAGUUUAACAAUAAUAAUAUAAAAAUGCAAAAGGCACUGAACUGAAUUUGGCUGCAAGGAUCGAUGUCCAGGUGUGAGUGAUUAAUAGUGACUUGGUGAUCUUUCUACCUGUUUUUGUACGGCCAAUUGAUUUCAUCCUAACGGAAAAGCUGCAACAGCCAGAAGAACAUUCUGCGGAGGGUACAGAGCCGCUGUUAUGGAUGCAACCGGAUGCUCGCGGACAUUUAUGGGACAGUUAUGAGGGCAUAAAGGAAUUUCUGGGCACGACUGGCACGUGGAGCAACAUCAGGCUGCACUGCCUUGUGUCCUGUUAGCUUUACCCUCAUUUAACUGCACGUCACAGGUUAACAACAAACAAAAUACAUGGCCCAUUGUCUGCCUUGUUUUUUUUUCUAUGUAUGGAUCAUCUCAGACAGGACACACUAUUAUGAUUUUUAACUGGUUUUUAAUAAGUAACAGUCUAUGCAAAGCUGAUCUCUUGAGCCUGCCUCUUUUCUUGUGUGUGUCUUCAGGGUGCCGUAAGACGCUCGUUUGCAUUCUGGAAGUUUCCCACGGCCGUCCCGCUUACGCUGGGGUGACCGGUGGGGCGUGGUCAGCGAGUGGCCACUUGCCUCCGACGGCAACAUAGACACUCAGUUUUCUGCCUCUGCUCUUCUACGGAACUCGCACCCCCAGGCAGGAGCACACUGAUCUGCUGAGUCGAGCCGCUCAGCCCGGUCUGUGGUUUCUCGGCACCUUGUGACCUAAGCGCAUGUCUCCCUUGAGCCGCCCCCCGCCCACACACACGCACACACACACACGCACAAAUGCAGGAGCGUGUCAGUAAUGCUGCGGCGUCGUGAUCGCCACAAAUCCUGCGAAAGCGUCAGCUGGGAAAAGAAACUCCUCUGAAGCAGGACCUACCAGAAAUAAUUUCCUUUUCUUAAGCUGCCUUCACUGAAACUGGCAUAUUAAUGACUGGUGGCUGUGUGAGAGAAUGCAGUAAAGAGUAUAUUUCAUAAGCUCA